CCUACGGGUGGCAGCAGUGGGGAAUAUUGCACAAUGGGGGAAACCCUGAUGCAGCGACGCCGCGUGAGUGAAGAAGUAUCUCGGUAUGUAAAGCUCUAUCAGCAGGGAAGAAAAUGACGGUACCUGACUAAGAAGCACCGGCUAACUACGUGCCAGAAGCCGCGGUAAAACGUCGGGGGCAAGCGUUAUCCGGAUUUACUGGGUGUAAAGGGAGCGUAGACGGGGCUGCAAGUCCGGAGGGAAAGCCCAGGGGUUAACCAUGGUACUGCCGUGGAAACUGUGGAGCUUGAGUGCGGGAGGGGCAGGCGGAAUUCCUGGUGUAGCGGUGAAAUGCGUAGAUAUUAGGAGGAACACCGGCGGCGAAGGCGGCCUGCUGGAGCGUAACCGACGUUGAGGCUCGAAAGCGUGGGGAGCAAACAGGAUUAGAUACCCGGGUAGUC
rnacentral:rRNA from 1 species